UACGUAGGGUGCGAGCGUUAAUCGGAAUUACUGGGCGUAAAGCGUGCGCAGGCGGUUCGUUGUGUUCGGCGGUGAAAAGCCCCGGGCUUAACCUGGGAAUGGCCGUUGAAACUGGCGAACUGGAGUGUGGCAGAGGGGGGUGGAAUUCCGCGUGUAGCAGUGAAAUGCGUAGAGAUGCGGAGGAACACCGAUGGCGAAGGCAGCCCCCUGGGCUAACACUGACGCUCAGGCACGAAAGCGUGGGGAGCAAACAGG
rnacentral:rRNA from 1 species